CUUAUAUAAAACCCAACACAAUCUCAGUAAAAAUUAAAAUUAUAAGCCAUCAACUCCUUAAACCCUGCAUCACAUUUCUCUAACAAACCCACAUACAUACAUACAUACUCUGCCCUGCUCUGCCUCCAAUGACUUCUUCUCCUUGUUCUUCUUGUUCUUGUUCCUGUUCGAGAUCGAAAUACCUUUCGAUUCUUUUUCUAGUUCUUCUGUUAGUUGGUUCGUGUUCGGCUACAAGGCAAGGCAAGACACUGGUGGAUCAUGAUCAGAGAGUUUACAUGAACAUGGAGAACACCAAAGAGCUCAAUCUGAGGAAACACAAGACUGGUUUUCGGCUUCGAGGGGAGAUAUUCAGCUUCUUCCCCAAAGGGACUCCCAUUCCUCCUUCUGGUCCUUCCAAGAGACACAACUCUGUGGUGAAUUCUACGCCUCCGAACUGAUAGCGAUCACAUUCAAAGGGAUCUUGAUUAUUUGGUAGCGCUGCUUCAUCUACUUGUUUUGUUUUGUUUGUAGGCUUCUUUUCUCGACUCCAUUAUUGAUCUUGUUAAAAGGGUUGCAAAGUCUUUUUGAAUCCGAUGUGAUCAUGAAACCUCAGUUGGCCAGGAUCAGAUCAUGAAGGAGAUGAAAUUAUAUAGAUAAUCAUUCUUUUUUUCUUUCAUUUUGAGGUUUGUGAAUUGUGAGAAUUCCAAUUAUACUGUAUAGAAAGAAACAACUUUGAUUUCUUGUUGACAUGUUCUAUUCAAUUCAAUAUAGAAAAGAGUUGGCGUACCUUUCAAAUCAAUGCUACAAUUUGCGAUCAUAUGAUCGGUUUCUUGAUCCUCUGUGUCUCAUUAUGAUCUGAUUUUGCAUUUUACAAUCUCUGUGGAACAAGUUUUCAUCAUAUUGGGAUCAAAUUGCAAGCUAGCUUCCCACCAUUUCUAGCUUUUCUUGUUUUGAC
rnacentral:lncRNA from 1 species